rnacentral:rRNA from 1 species
AUGAUAUCAUCAUGGGACUAUCUCUCGCCACCUCUUCUUCCCAUGCUUCAGUUCGUUCCAGUUUCAGGCCUAUUCACAUGCCACUUGGCUAGCAAUCAUUCAGAUCGUUGGUCCCUUUCUGCUAACUGUGUUUUUCUUAGUGGUUCUCUCAUUGCCUUGAAGACAGAAGAAACAUACUGCAGUUUCUCGUUCGAUUUCAAAUCCCGAGUUGUGAGCUAUGGCUCUUUUAACAGCAGAGAUGACUGUUAUUAUGUCUGCUUGUGGAUUUUGGUGUUUCUGUCACUACAACUACUCUCUUGUCAGACAGUGGAUGUGCUAUCAGUAUUGCGUGUGACCAUAUGA